GAAAGCGAGUAUCAACAUUUUUAUAAUGCUGGUGAGUUCAUAAGUAUUUAAUGACAUUAGUAUGAAUACACAUUUUUAUUCAAAAUAACCUCAUGAAAGAUGGAAGUUUAGAAUCUAUAGAGUAUUAGAGUUCUUUCUAGAAAAUCCUAUAUUUUCUAAAUAAGAGUAGUCUUCUACCAAGACCCAAUUGUGUUAUGUUUAAGGAGUAAUUUCCCCAAUAGUACUAUCAUUAUCAAAAUAUAGUUUUUACUUUAACGGAGUUGUGAGAAAAGCCUCAAGUAAAAAUAGUAGGGAAAAAUAAUAUUUUACCUCAGCAGAAACACUGCUGGCUAAAAGUAAGUAAAACCUAGACUCCAGGCAGGACGCCUCGCAAAGCUCAAAGAUAAAUAAAUCAUAGACUUCAAGCGGAACGCCUUACAAAGUCUAAAAAUAAGUAAAUCAUAGACUCCAGGAGAGUAUUGAAUGGACAAUACACCUGGCUCAGUCUAAAACAAGGAAGCACAAACUCCAGACAGUAUCGAAUGAACGAUACAGCUAGCAAAGUCUAAAACAAGGAAACACAGACUCCAGACAGUAUCGGAUGAACGACACAGCUAGCAAAGUCUAAAACAAGGAAACACAGACUCCAGACAGUAUCGGAUGAACGACACAGCUAGCAAAGUCUAAAACAAGGAAACACAGACUCCAGACGGUAUCGGAUGAAUGAUACAGCUAGUAAAGUCUAAAACAAGAGGUGAAUGUGAACUCGUAUGUAACCAUGCUGAUUCAAGAUCGAAUCCUUGAUGACCCUCCAUGUCACGCGUAGAGUUAGUGACAUUAUGUCACCCAUGGGCCUUACCGGCGCGGACUGUAGCUAGUAGUCAGGGUGUGGGAGUGUCUGUCCCGUAUAGAUCUUUACACAUGAUGUUCGCUCUCCCUCCAGGAGACUCUGGUUACAUGGCGAUGGCGCUAUGAAGUGUUGUAUCGGGAAAUAGUGUGUCAC
rnacentral:lncRNA from 1 species